rnacentral:rRNA from 1 species
GAUGAACGCUAGUGGCAGGCCUAAUACAUGCAAGUCGAACGGUGUAGCAAUACACAGUGGCGCACGGGUGCGUAACACGUAUGCAACCUACCUUACAUUGGGGGAUAGCCUUUCGAAAGGGAGAUUAAUACCGCAUAAGACAGUAACUAGGCAUCUAGUAGCUGUUAAAGAUUUAUCGAUGUAAGCUGGGCAUGCGUCCAAUUAGUUAGUUGGCGAGGUAAUGGCUCACCAAGACGAUGAUUGGUAGGGGAACUGAGAGGUCAAUCCCCCACACUGGGACUGAGGUACGGCCCGGACUCCUACGGGAGGCAGCAGUAGGGAAUAUUUGGCAAUGGGCGCAAGCCUGACCCAGCCAUGCCGCGUGCAGGAAGAAGGCGUUAUGCGUUGUAAACUGCUUUUAUGCAGGAAGAAACGACCCUUGCGAGGGGCAUUGACGGUACUGUAUGAAUAAGCACCGGCUAACUCCGUGCCAGCCGCCGCAGUAAAAC